UCUCCCGGUCCUCCAACCAGAAGAAGCCAAACGGACGACGACGACGACGAGGAGACCUUUGGCGGUUACACACGGCGUCCUACCGUCUUCUGGUGUGCCUACCUAUUCGGGCUACCAGCGAACCGAGCGACUAAACGAAGCUUCAGUCGACGCCGCGCACCCAAACGGUCCAGACCUGUCAGCCCGGAAGACACACGCGCAGCAUCUCAACACUUUCACGAGCCAUCGACCUACUAAGUAACACGGAGAUCCCGCCAGCGUGACACUGUACGCGCAUCGUACCUUCGCUUUACAACUAAAUCGAGACGCGCUUCGCGAGUUUCGUUCUGCCUCCGUUCGUCGAGAGUUUACAUUUCUAUCCAAGUUUCAACUCAAGAUUUUUUUCCUGAGAAAGAAUACGUCGUGGACGUUGCUCGAGGACAACUCUUAUUCGACAACUUUUUCCUCUAUUCGGAUCGGCAACGAUACGAGGAGUCUCUCGCGACGUGGUACAAGCAGUGAUCUCACUCCCAGGAGUCAGCCGUGCCCGAGACUAGCUUUGCGCGGGAGGAGAAGAGCGAGUCGAAGAGCGACAGUCAGGAAAGACGGAUAAAAA